UGGGUGCACCGUGAGCAAGUUCUCACC
rnacentral:piRNA from 1 species